rnacentral:lncRNA from 1 species
CAGACACUCCACUGUCGUACAUCCACGCGAGAAUCCUGACACUGAAUCGCUCUCUCCCUCCAAGAUAUAUUUCUCUAGCACGCAGGUUUAAUAUCAGGAAAUUAAGUAUUGUGUUAUAUUACGUCAUUCAGCCGUGUGGGUCUGAGUCUUCAAACCUUUCAACGUCGUGGCUGUUUCUACAGUUAACGUCACAGAGUCAGCGGGAGGGAGUCCUGUUGGAACGAAGCGUCUGACUGUUUUUUCUAAGAAAACAGAUGGAGAGUAAACCCUAGCACACCGACUUGUUGAUUCUGGAACCCGAUGUGAGACGCUGGCCCCAAAUGACCUCGGGGACUUUCAGAGAAUCAAAAUAAGCCAACUGAGACAUGAUGGUAAAUUGUGCGCCCGCCUCCUUACAAAUCGCAGCAGAGCAGACAGGUGUCGAAGCUGAUCUGGACCAGUGAGAGAGGGAAGAAGAGAAGAAGUGAACCUUUCAGAAUUCGGCUCACAAAAGCAUGCCCAUUGUUGGAGAAGAAACAGAUCGUGAGGGACAGUCAUUAAUAUUUCCCAUAAGGAAUAACCACUCCUCUGUUUUAAAUGCCUGUGACGAGAUGUGAAUGGAGAUAAUUGACUGAACCCCAAAUCUCCCCCCUGGAACCAAUAAUAAUAAUUUGCCUCCAGCUGGUUCAGAGGGUCUUUGGACUUGGCUCUUCCACCCAAAUAAGUUACACUGAGAGGCCG